AGUGAACGCUGGCGGCAGGCCUAACACAUGCAAGUCGAGCGGCAGCGCGGGGCAACCUGGCGGCGAGCGGCGGACGGGUGAGGAAUGCAUCGGAAUCUACCCUGUCGUGGGGGAUAACGUAGGGAAACUUACGCUAAUACCGCAUACGAACGAGAGGUGAAAGUGGGGGACCUUCGGGCCUCACGCGAUUGGAUGAGCCG
rnacentral:rRNA from 1 species